GACGAACGCUGGCGGCGUGCCUAAUACAUGCAAGUCGAGCGAAUGGAUUAAGAGCUUGCUCUUAUGAAGUUAGCGGCGGACGGGUGAGUAACACGUGGGUAACCUGCCCAUAAGACUGGGAUAACUCCGGGAAACCGGGGCUAAUACCGGAUAACAAUUUGAACCGCAUGGUUCGAAAUUGAAAGGCGGCUUCGGCUGUCACUUAUGGAUGGACCCGCGUCGCAUUAGCUAGUUGGUGAGGUAACGGCUCACCAAGGCAACGAUGCGUAGCCGACCUGAGAGGGUGAUCGGCCACACUGGGACUGAGACACGGCCCAGACUCCUGCGGGAGGCAGCAGUAGGGAAUCUUCCGCAAUGGACGAAAGUCUGACGGAGCAACGCCGCGUGAGUGAUGAAGGCUUUCGGGUCGUAAAACUCUGUUGUUAGGGAAGAACAAGUGCUAGUUGAAUAAGCUGGCACCUUGACGGUACCUAACCAGAAAGCCACGGCUAACUACGUGCCAGCCGCCGCAGUAA
rnacentral:rRNA from 1 species